rnacentral:tRNA from 1 species
AAUAAAGUGCCUGAAAAAGGAUUAUUCUGAUAGGAUAAAUUAUGUAACCUAUAAUUACCUUUAUUA